GUGCUCAUUUCCACAGCACGUUUACUAAAACUGGAAUAAAGAUACGGCCCCUGCAUAAGGAGGGCAUGCAAAUUCCUGAAGACUUCCAUAUUUUU
ensembl:snRNA U6 U6 spliceosomal RNA